AUUUUCUGCAGUUAUUCAGUUAAGAAACAAUGCUCUGCCAACCAAGGCUAGUAAGCAUUAGUCCUUGCUGUGUUCGACUUUAGGAUAAUGUGCAUUGAACCUGAGUCCGUGUUGACUGUGGUAGAUGCGGGUGUCCAGGUGAAUUAUCCUACUCUACCAGACCACAGGAUGGAAUGAUAGUUCUGACACAUCCUCAGUCCAGAGCCGAUAGUGGCGCCAACAGUGGGGUGGACGUUGGAGUUCUGCCAGGAUCUAGGUAAGGUUGAUGGUUCCCGGAUGAUGGCAGUGACCAGCCUGUGCGGUGCGUGUCUUUUUCGUCUUUCAGGUAUGCCAAGUGGCAUCCCGGAAAACACCUGUCAGAUGCGUUUCUUCUGCUGCUGCUAGUCAUGAGAUCAAGGUGGGUCUGAGAAUGGCCAUUCAGAGGCCCUGGAUAGUAACCAGGUAAUGGAUGACACCAGUCCUAUGCCAAUACAGACCACUUGAACUUCAGAUUUCCUGGACAAAGAGGGCACUGUCCUUGACACAGUGUUUUUCCCAUGGUUUCCUGCAGGAGUCCCGUAAAGUUCUCUUCCUGUAGAGAGGUAGGAGAUGUUGUGGCAUUACCUCAUGAAAGACAUUCUGAAUUUCCUGCAUGUAGAUAGUUAAUGAUGGUUUAAGUCUGGUAGAGUAACCUUGUGUUUGGCAUAUGUGUCAUUGAGAAAAAAUAAUUAGUGAUUCCCAAUGCCAGUAAGCAUGAGAUUUUACUGUUUGCUUAUUCAGAGGUAAGGGCUUUUAUUUUUUUUUUUCGGUAAAUCUGACCCUCCACGUGAGAAACAGAUAUGCCAGUGCCCAGGUAGUUGAUCAUAUUGUCUGUCACCCCGAUGUGGACUGUGCUGUUUCUCCAGGUAUCCCUCGGAGGCUCUGGCUUAGAUAUUUUCAGUUAUCUGGGUAACCUGGAUGAGUUGCGAAACGAUACCAAUGAACAAGAGUAUUUGUGGGUGUCCUCGUAGCAUAGGUUGUGUACCAAGCAGAGUUUCCCCAAUAUGUCUUUCAGAUGAAUGUCAGGGCAUCACAGCAGGCCUUUUGAAGCUAGGUAACGUGGGGCAUUGCUGGCUGAGGUAAGUGCUGACACAGGCCUAAACCACAGCCCGCAGCAUCGUACUGUCACAGAGGCUUAUUUCAAUGAUGAUGUGCCCCUACACAUCUUCCCGCCAUGAUUUCUUUUCCAUGUAUUCAGAUGAGAAAUGAUUCCGUUUUCACCACUCCCAGAUAGGCCGGGUUUUCCCAUUUUAUAAAAGUAUAUGCUGAACCCUGUGAGUGUUGAGGGAUUGCAGGGAGCCAGGUAUUUAUCGCUGUGUUCCCCACUUCUGUGCUGCCGCUCCGAUUUCUAGAGAUGUGCAGUUGAGAAACAGUAGUUUUCUGCUGUCAGGGUCGACCUGAGAUUACUGCAACUAUACACAUCGAGUGGGUGUGUCCCAUAAAGAUGGAAAUAAACAUGGGACUUUGUGGGAGUCUUUGCAGAAAACCCCCUGUCUUUUUACACAUAUGUAUUGGUGCCUCUUUCAGAUUCCUGCUAUGACAUCACAGUGAAUCCAACAUGGGUCCCUAUCAGGAAGCAGGGCUGCUCUGCAGGUCAAGGCUGCAUGAGGACCCAAAGCAACACAUGGGCCACUUGAAGUUCAGGUGUAUAGGUAAGUGAGGAUGGUGUCCAUACUUCCUGUUGUUCCCAUGAUUUCACCUCAGGUGUCCUGGUCAGAAAUGACAAAUGUCCCUGGCACACUAGAAACCGUGAGAUUUCCCUCUGCAUAUUUCAGAGACAAUGUCUAACCCAGUGAGCACAGUGGGACUGCAAAUACCAGGUAAUGAUCUUGGGGUUCCCAGCCACAGCGAUUACGCUGGACAUUUUGCAGGUGUCUUGUAGAGAGAAAUGCUGUUUUCUGGGCCUGCAGCCCUGAGCUUAGGGGGUCCCACCAGCAUCCAAGUAAGAGUCCUUCAACGAUGGAUGCGAGCAUUGUGAUUUGCAUGUGUCCUGUUAGAACACUUUGUGUGUUUCUGAGGCAUAUAUCUCAGUGUAGGUUUUCCAGGGUCCCACAAGGAAAUCCCGAUAAACAGGAGUCAGGAUCAGGGAACACGUCUGCUAUCUGGGUAAGUGAUGGUGUUCAUGGUAAACUCACCACACACCAGGCGAUCUCCACAUACCUAGGUAAGCAAGGUUCCUUUGCCUGAAGGGUUUAUCAUGUGAUGGGUUAACAGGUAUUUUGGUAAGAAAGGGUAGCGGCUCUCCGUUCUCCUCGCCAUGUGAUCCUAUUGAUUUCUACCCUGGAAAGAAUGUAUGAUGUAUGUGGUCUGUGAGGGCUGAUUGAUUGUCACAUACCCAGGGAACUCAUGUGGCAUUGUGCAUCACAGGAGUAACUGUGGUGGAUUUGCAGGGAAACUGGCCAGGGAAAAAUAGUGUGUCCUACAAUGGCCUAGACCCUGGAGGGCCUGCAAGCAUCCAAAUACAUUUUUGACUCCCACAGUGAUUAUACUGAGCAAGGCGGUUUGCAGGAUCCUGAUGGAAAAGCUGUGUCUGUUGAGCCAUUGAUCACACUUGCAGUUUCAGGUUCAGGCAGGCAGAAGUCAGAGCAUGAGGACAACAUUGAGGUCUCUCCAGGCGAUUUAUGGACUCUCGGAUUUGGUAGUGAUUCAGGUACGAGAUGAUCAUGGCUCUCAUCAUUGUAGUGACCAUGGUAUUUUGAAGGAAUGCAAAAACAGAUGAUGGGCCCGUCCCUGACCAUGGUAGUGCCCAUGGGAUUUUUUAGCUAUAGAAUGAAAAGAUGACAAUGACCAUCUCCAUGGUAAUGUCUGAAAUUUUUAAAAUAUCCAGGUAACAAAUGAAUGUUUCUGCUUAGGAAGUGAACAUAGAAUACUGAAGUUACAGAGUUAAGAAAUGAUGAUAAACUUCACCAUGGGGGUGACCAUGAUAUUUUCUAGAUAUCGAGAUAAGUGAGGAUGGUGACCCUAACUUGACUACCAAAAUUGAGUUUGCUCAGGUAGGCAUGAAGGAGCUGAUGAUGCCGCUUCCCAUGUUAGUGAAUAUGACAUUUUGUGGUAUUCCAGAUAUGAUGGCGAACCUAAUCACAAAAUAACCAUGAGAUCAUGAGAUUGUCAGGGGUCUAGUAAAAAGAUGGUGGUCCCCUUAACCAUGAAAGUUAUGAUGAAAUUUUGUAAGCCAGUAAUUAAGAGAUCACAGAGAUCCUAACCGUGAUACUGAACAAGGAAUUUUGCAAAUCACCAGGUAAGAGAUGAUUGUGUCUCUAAAAAUGUGGUGACCGUGGGAUUUUGCAGAUAUCCAAUUAAGGAAUAAUGUGUUCCUAGAAAUUGUAGUACCAAGGUAUUCAGCAGUUACCCAGGAAAGAAAUGGUAUGUCCCUAGCAAUGGCAUUUAAUCUGGGUAAUUUGUAGGUCUCCAUGUAUGGUAGGUUUUUCUAAAUCUGAUAGAUCUCAUGGGCUUCUGUAGGCAUCCGCAUGAGAGAUGAUAUGUCAUAAAUUGUAAGUAACUGCCACUACCGUAACCAAAGUAUUUUAUAAGUGUCCAGCUAAGAGCUCUGGCUUUAUGUAUUUGUUGGAUUUAUGACCAUUUUUUUCUGUGUUUUCAUAGUUUUUUUUCUUUUUUUGAGAGUCUGGCUGAGGUAUUGCUGAUGCACGCAUAAACCACAGCAUGCACCAUGGGACUGUCCCAGGGACCUGGUUCACUGAUGAGAUGUCCCCACACGUCUUCCCGCCGUGAUUUCUUUCACAGGUACUCAGCUGAGAAAUGAUUGAGUCCUUACCAAUCCCAGAUUGGCCAGGUUUUCCCAUUUUCUGUUUCAACAAAAGUGUAUGCUGAAACCUGUGAGUGUAGAGGGAUUGCAGGGAGUCAGGUAUUUAUCACUGUAUUCCCCGCCCCCGUGCUGCCCCUAGGAUGUCUACAGGUGAACAGUCGAGAAACGGUGGUUUUCUGCUAUCAGGGUCGACCUGAGAUUACUGCAAGUAUCCAGGUCGAGUGGGUGUGUCCCCAAAAGAUGGAAAUCAAGGUUAUUUGUAGGAGUGCUGGUGGAAAACCCCAUGUCCUUCUACACAUGUGUCUUCUACACAUCUGAUUUUGCAAGCUGCCAGAGAAGAUAUGAUGGUGUCUCUAAAAAUGUCUAAACAUGUGGUGACCACGGGAUUUUGCAGAUAACCAAUGACCAAAAUGGAUCCUACAGUAUAAUCACACAG
rnacentral:lncRNA from 10 species